rnacentral:rRNA from 1 species
AUUGAACGCUGGCGGCAGGCCUAACACAUGCAAGUCGAACGAGAGGCGGACGGGUGAGUAAUGUCUGGGCAACUGCCUGAUGGAUGGGGUUAACUACUGGAAACGGUAGCUGAUACCGCAUACCAUCAGAUGUGCCCAGGUGGGAUUAGCUAGUGGGGGGGGUAAAGGCGCACCAAGGCCACGAUCCCUAGCUGGUGUGAGAGGAUGACCAGCCACACUGGAACUGAGACACGGUCCAGACUCCUACGGGAGGCAGCAGUGGGGAAUAGUGCACAAUGGGCGCAAGCCUGAUGCAGCCAUGCCGUGUGUAUGAAGAAGGCCUUCGGGUUGUAAAGUACUUUCAGCGGGGAGGCGUUACCCGCAGAAGAAGCACCGGCUAACUCCGUGCCAGCAGCCGCGGUAAUAC